ACAGGAAGACCAAUAAAUCCUUUGGCCGAUAGGAAGUUUUAUUAAAUAUUGCUAUCGGCAGAACUUGGCUCCGAUAGUGGCUGAUGUCUGUGCAGUCUCUACCGGUCACAUGGGACGUACAUCACUUUGCGAUGAGCGGAGGCUCCAUACACGACGUCAAGCUGAGGUCCAGUUCUGUCAGGGGGGAGUCUGGUGUCUGCAGAGCUGAGGCCAGAGUUUCACAGGAUUUAUGUAUUGAACUCCCCCAAGACCUCCUCUGACAUCAACAAUAGAGAGUUGGCACCAAGUUCAUUCAAACAGUGGAACAAGUUGAUUAUCCUUUCUGAAUCCCUUGUAAGAGAUUCUGAUUGGACUCCAGUGAGAGACCCAGAAGGAAGCGGAGGAAGAGGUCCAGGUGUCCAUUCUCACUCUCCAAG